rnacentral:rRNA from 1 species
CGGCGGACGGGUGAGUAACGCGUGGAUAACCUGCCUCAUACAGGGGGAUAACAGUUAGAAAUGACUGCUAAUACCGCAUAAGCACACGGGAGCGCAUGCUUCCGGGUGAAAAGCUCCGGCGGUAUGAGAUGGAUCCGCGUCUGAUUAGCUGGUUGGCGGGGUAACGGCCCACCAAGGCGACGAUCAGUAGCCGACCUGAGAGGGUGGCCGGCCACAUUGGGACCGAGACACGGCCCAAACUCCUACGGGAGGCAGCAG